rnacentral:rRNA from 1 species
AGCGAACGCUGGCGGCAGGCCUAACACAUGCAAGUCGAACGAACUCUUCGGAGUUAGUGGCGGACGGGUGAGUAACACGUGGGAACGUGCCUUUAGGUUCGGAAUAACUCAGGGAAACUUGUGCUAAUACCGAAUGUGCCCUUCGGGGGAAAGAUUUAUCGCCUUUAGAGCGGCCCGCGUCUGAUUAGCUAGCUGGUGAGGUAAAGGCUCACCAAGGCGACGAUCAGUAGCUGGUCUGAGAGGAUGAUCAGCCACAUUGGGACUGAGACACGGCCCAAACUCCUACGGGAGGCAGCAGUGGGGAAUCUUGCGCAAUGGGCGAAAGCCUGACGCAGCCAUGCCGCGUGAAUGAUGAAGGUCUUAGGAUUGUAAAAUUCUUUCACCGGGGACGAUAAUGACGGUACCCGGAGAAGAAGCCCCGGCUAACUUCGUG